GAAUAUGUAUAUCUCGUGACUUUAAGUGGAGAAUAUAUAAAGAGUGUUCGACGUACGGACAGUCAUACCGUGUUCGUCGGAAGAGGCAGCGACAUAUUUAAUCAAAGAUAUCUUACCAACCACCUAAAACAAAAAUAUGAACAAACUGAACAACCAAAUCAUCGUUCUUGUUGUGCUGACCAGCCUUCUCACAGUUGCCUUCUCCUGUCCGUUACACGAGAGGACAGAAAUGCGAACUAGUUCAAGAAAUUACGGCAAUGAAUUAGAAUCAAGAUCAAGAGUAGGAAAACGAAACCUUCGUCUACCAAAGGGAUUUCAAUGUCCUCCAGAUAUAGGGGACGUCGACUGUUAUCACGAACUCAUGGGACUUUGGAUGCGGCUUCUCAUGCAGCAAUAACACGGCCGACAAACUGGAACACUUACACGAGAGGCACUAGCCGUACAGCAAUGUUAUCAUCAAGCAUUCCCACAUUGAAACCUGGUCAAUUGACGUUGAAUAACAUUACCGAAUGAUAAUAGCUAUGCUGCUACCUUUAUUCAACUUAUCCAAGAUAUUGACAUUAAAAUUUGAAAGAUGAUGUAUAUGAAAGGCAUCUAAGAACAUUCAUUGGAGGGAAUUUCGUGACGAAACUUUAUGGGGGAAAUAAACGCUAAUAGUUUUAAAAGAAUGCUAAUUAAUUGUAAUUAUUUGGAUAGCUUAACUGAUUGGAUUUUGUUCUUUAUGAAUAAAGAUUUUAAUUUUUUUAUAA